AGGCAGUAGCAUCGUUUCACAAUGUUUCCAUCACCAUCAUCAGUGGAUGCCUUUGCCGUCCGUAGCCUGAGAUUUCAGAUUUGCAGCAAAAAACUUGAUUUUCUCAUUUAUUGGAAUGCUGUGCAGGUUGUACCUUGCAGCCAUCCAUUACAAUGUCACCAAGCCGUAACAAAAGCAGGAGAGGGAAAGUACAAGGCUAUGUUCCCAAAACACACAAGUGACAUACCUUAUGUGGAGGAUGUGAUCAGGCUUGUGUUUGAUGAGGUAUUUGAAGAUAAGCUGAAGGAAACCCCGAUUCCAAUGGACCUGGCAUCACAGUUUGAGAGACCUUCAAAGGAGGACGUGAUUGCAUGCCAUCUUCAGUGCAGGGGUCGUCGAAAGCCAAAAUUGUGACCGAUCUGAUCAGGAAGCUCCAAGCGUAUCUGGAGAACAACACACGACAGGAUGAUAACCUUAUAGUGUCGUCUUAAAUAGCACCAGGUGACAAAGCUUUGAUAUGCCAUUUAUCUGAAUAGAUAGCUGUAAGAAAUGAAUUGAACAAUUUUUGA